CCUACGGGUGGCAGCAGUGAGGAAUAUUGGUCAAUGGACGCAAGUCUGAACCAGCCAUGCCGCGUGCAGGAAGACGGCUCUAUGAGUUGUAAACUGCUUUUGUACGAGGGUAAACGCAGAUACGCGUAUCUGGCUGAAAGUAUCGUACGAAUAAGGAUCGGCUAACUCCGUGCCAGCAGCCGCGGUAAUACGGAGGAUUUAAGCGUUAUCCGGAUUUAUUGGGUUUAAAGGGUGCGUAGGCGGUCGGAUAAGUUCAGGGGGAAAUCCCGAGGGUCCACUUCGGAAUUGCCUCUGAUACUGUUCGGCUAGAGAGUAGUAGCGGUAGGCGGAAUGUAUGGUGUAGCGGUGAAAUGCUUAGAGAUCAUACAGAACACCGAUUGCGAAGGCAGCUUACCAAGCUACUUCUGACGUUGAGGCACGAAAGCGUGGGGAGCAAACAGGAUUAGAUACCCCUGUAGUC
rnacentral:rRNA from 1 species